rnacentral:rRNA from 1 species
GACGAACGCUGGCGGCGUGCCUAAUACAUGCAAGUAGAACGCACAGUUUAUACCGUAGCUUGCUACACCAUAGACUGUGAGUUGCGAACGGGUGAGUAACGCGUAGGUAACCUGCCUGGUAGCGGGGGAUAACUAUUGGAAACGAUAGCUAAUACCGCAUAAUAUUAAUUAUUGCAUGAUAAUUAAUUGGAAGGUGCAAUUGCACCACUACCAGAUGGACCUGCGUUGUAUUAGCUAGUAGGUGAGGUAACGGCUCACCUAGGCGACGAUACAUAGCCGACCUGAGAGGGUGAUCGGCCACACUGGGACUGAGACACGGCCCAGACUCCUACGGGAGGCAGCAGUAGGGAAUCUUCGGCAAUGGACGAAAGUCUGACCGAGCAACGCCGCGUGAGUGAAGAAGGUUUUCGGAUCGUAAAGCUCUGUUGUAAGAGAAGAACGGGUGUGAGAGUGGAAAGUUCACACUGUGACGGUAUCUUACCAGAAAGGGACGGCUAACUACAUG